rnacentral:rRNA from 1 species
CACGUAGGAGGCGAGCGUUGUCCGGAAUCAUUGGGCGUAAAGGGCGCGUAGGCGGCCUUCUAAGUCGAACGUGAAAUCCCCGGGCUCAACCCGGGAACUGCGUCCGAUACUGGAAGGCUUGAAUCCGGGAGAGGGAUGCGGAAUUCCAGGUGUAGCGGUGAAAUGCGUAGAUAUCUGGAGGAACACCGGUGGCGAAGGCGGCAUCCUGGACCGGUAUUGACGCUGAGGCGCGAAAGCUAGGGGAGCAAACGGG